CGCCCCCAGCCCCGCUUACCUCCCGGCGGGCCCGGGCCCCGCUACCGGCCCCGCGCAGCCCCGGCGCCCCCCGAGGGGGUCAGCCCAGGGCACCGCCAGCUCCGGCCGCCGCGCUCCGGCCGCCCCGCUGCCGCCUCAUACCCGCACGGGCAGCGGCCGCCGCGCCCUCCCGCUCGCUCCUGGGACUUGUAGUCCAAGGGCCGGGCCCGCGGCCAUGUUUAGUCCGGGCAGCCGACGCCGAGGCCCGGCCGCCAUCUCGGCCCCGGGCGGGUGACGCCCCCAAGCCCGCGCUCCCCGCCGGAGGCCGCGCCGGGGCAGCGCCCGCUCCGGAGCGCAGCAAAACCGGCGUGUAGGCAGCCUGACUGCCGGCUUUGGAAGCGUUUAAAUGGAGUUUCCUUACGUGGUCUUCUCCCUGGGACCACCGUGUGUUCCUGCAGGGUCAAAGGGGCCGAGAAAGAGCUGCCGUAUAUUACAAGUUUUCAGGUUUUAAAAUGCAGCCGAAGGUGCUCUGCUGAGGAGAGCUGGCCAGAGAGAUGGGCGGGAGACCUGCCUGCCCUGCAGAGCCUGCUGACAGACCCACCGCUGCUUACCAGCUGCAGAAACAAUCCUCUGGCUCUGCCGAUGUUCCUUGAGUAAGCACUGAGAACACCUUCUUGAGGUCUUCUGAGGACAGAGGAAAUGCUGGCCCUGUUUACUGUAAGGAAACGUAGCAGAAUGCAUAUGAAAAAUUAUAGUGCUGAAUAGUGCAGGAACUUUAAUCAAGUAAAAUACUGUUUCCCUGCAUUCCUUGUGUAUCUGUCAUAAAAGUGACUUUAAAUAACAUUUGAAGUUUUCCCAGGAGUGGUAGGGAAGAUGAAAUAAUGCUGUGACGAGCAUGCUAGUUAGGCAACAUGUCAGAUCCAGUUUGGAUUUUCCAUUUCUUGGACACGAGUUACUGGUGAAAGGUAAAAAUACCCACCCAUUUUCUGUUAGUUUCUUCACCAUAUGGGAAUGUAACUAGUAGCCCCAUAACACAUGUGUAGUAAAGGAUCUCCCAACUGCAUUUUCAAAACCAUCUUGUUUUGGUGGUUUGUUCUUUUCUGAAUUUUUGUAUUCUUAUUUUUUAAAUGUACUUCUAUGACAGAAGACAGUAAGCCAGAACUAUAGCAACAACAACUGCUGUUGUUUCUAGGAGCAGAAUCUACACCUAAGAUGCAGUUAUUUUCCAUAUUUUGACCUGCACAGGGACACACAAAUUGAUCUGUCACUUCAAAUGUUUUUACAUAGUAAUAAACUCAGUAGUGAUGCUGAAAAAAAAAAUCA
rnacentral:lncRNA from 1 species